GAUGAAGAACGUAGCGAAAUGCGAUACGUAAUGUGAAUUGCAGAAUUCAGUGAAUCAUCGAGUCUUUGAACGCACAUUGCGCCCCCUGGUAUUCCGGGGGGCAUGCCUGUCCGAGCGUCAUUGCUGCCCUCAAGCACGGCUUGUGUGUUGGGCCCCCGUCCCCCUCCCAGGAAGGGGACGGGCCCGAAAGGCAGCGGCGGCACCGUGUCCGGUCCUCGAGCGUAUGGGGCUUUGUCACCCGCUCUGUAGGCCCGGCCGGCGCUUGCCGAUCAACCCAAAUUUUUAUCCAGGUUGACCUCGGAUCAGGUAGGGAUACCCGCUGAACUUAAGCAUAUCAAUAAGCGGAGGA
rnacentral:misc_RNA from 1 species